ACAGAACAAAGAGGCGAUCGACUUGUAUCGACACCUGCAUCAUGAGCUACAAAUUGUAUCCAGGCUGUUAUUUUUAGUCUUUUGCGAGGGAAGAAAAUGAAAAGAAAAAAAAAAGGAAAGGGAGAGGUGAAGGGUGAAGAUAACGAAGUGAUCAACUCCAUAACUACUACAAAGACUACAAAAUUAAGAAUAGGGCACGCAGAAACCCCUGGACACACCAGAUGUGGGAUCUGGUAUUUAAGAGGAGUAAGCAUCCCAUGUCGACAGGUCAAACCCGCUGUGAACCCUAUAUAUCUCGAUCGGAUAAACGGUGUAAUACAAAGCCAAAAACAGCGUGUAAACAACGGCCUCAAUUGGUAUGAAACAUGUCAGACCGAAUUUUACCCAAUGGCAGUUUAUAUUGGUUAAAUUAGAUGGUUACAGUGUACAUCUACCAUCCAGUUGCAAAAUGCCGACAUUAAUAACAUUAACUUAUUUGUCAAUAACAUGCCUGGAUUUAAAACUGACCAUACGCAGACAAAACUCUUGCAUAUCGAAUCAAUUGACAAGACAUAACACCAUAUGCAGGUGAUCAUGGAAUAUUGCUACAUAAAUAUAUAUGGAACGUUAAUGGAAUCAAUCACGGGUUAUGUGAUUGUAUUACCUGUACAAAGUCACGGUAUGAUAGGCAACACGAAUUCUUUUAAACAGAGGUAAAGAAAACAGAAUUCGGAUACCUAUUUCUAAAACAUAGUUAAUAUAUCGUAUACUUAUUCUAAGUUUACAUGAUAGACACUAAGUGCACAUGUAGCAUGGAUUAACGAGAUAUAGGGGUAUUCAGUGUUUAACAAGCAUACAGACUUUUUUAAGUACACUGUAAUAACCUACAUUAUGUAUCACAGACAGAUUUGUAAUUACACCUAAAUCAAAAUGGUUCACUGUCCAACACACCGUUUUGAACUAUGGGUAGGUUGGUAGGAAAAAUAUGUCGGUAUUUGGUCAAGUGUUUUCAACAAGUGCGGACUAUUCACUUUUUGAAAGUUAACAUGGAAGACAUUCAAGCCAACAUGCCUAGCUAAAAUUGUAGGAAAAAUACUCAUACUUUAAAAUUUGAGAUAUAGCCUUUCCAGUAUGUUGUGUUGCGGUCAAAAAUUUGAUAUCUUGUUUUCUAGAGCUAGUGAUAGAUAUACAAAGACAUAUAAAAAUAAAAA